rnacentral:RNase_P_RNA from 2 species
UGAGUAAGCUAGAUGAUCGCAUGCAUUAGCAUGAGGAAAGUCCGAGCUCCAUAGGGCAGGGUGCUGGGUAAUACCCAGUAGAGGCGACUCUAAGGAAAGUGCCACAGAAACAGACCGCCAUAACCAGAGGUCAGAAGUCCGAGGUCAGAAGUUGGGAUAAAAGAAAUCGGCAAACCGAUUGUUCACAAGUACUGACAUCCGACUUCCGAUUUCUGACUUCCGUUAUGGUAAGGGUGGAAAGGUGAGGUAAGAGCUCACCAGCAGCCAGGGUGACUUGGUUGGCUCGGUAAACCCCACUUGGAGCAAGACCGAAUAGAGGAACAUAGGAACUGCCCGUUCCGUUCCCGGGUAAGGUCGCUUGAGCCUACUGGCAACAGUAGGCCUAGAUAGAUGAUCAUCCUAGACAGAACUCGGCUUAUGGUUUACUCGAAGC